GUGGCAGACAGUGAGGACAAUGGGCGGGCACGCCAGGGCAGCAGACGGUGGCCAGCUGCUCUUGGAACCGUCCCUCUCCAGCCCACCUCUUUGUACCAUGCUUCAGUGCAGGACACUCUCACCUCGAAUAUUGCAGCAGCCCCUUCCCUGGUCUCCCGUAGCGCCUACCCCGCACUGAGGCGUCCCUGGGGAAGGGAGAGGCCAGGCGGCUGGAGUCUGCUUCCUAUGGGGGCUGCCCCUGGUCUCCGGCCUUCUCCCUUCUCCUCUCCAGUCCUGCCCUCAUAGGUAGCGAGAGGGGUCGAGGGCCUUUAAGAAGCUUCCCGAGAUCUUCUGAAUCCUCAGCAAUCUCCUGCCCUGGCAUUCAAGGCCUGCCUGUCUAGGAUCCUGUCUCUGCAGCUCUGCCCACGUGACCGUAUCCUUGGAAGAAAAAAAAAAUGGGGAUGCACAAAGUGACCAGCACAGGGUAUUCGUGAUGACCGGGGAACAGAGAUUGAGAAAGCAAGAGCCUUCCUGGCAAAUCUGGGUUCAGACGCGGCAGAGACAGCUGUUUCCAGCCACUGCUAUGAACCCAUCUAAGUGAAAUUGUGAGGACUAAGGAGAGAGGCACCCAUGACUGCCUUAAUCCACUCCUACCCAUCGUCUCUUCACCCAUCCACCCAUCCUUGCUGCAGACCUUUACUGGGCACCUGUGCCAGGAGACCAUCACUGCCCAUCAGAAGCUCAUACAGGGAGAAGCAGUGGCCACAGCAGAAGGCGUCCCGGGUCCUAGAGAGCACCUGGAGAACAAGGGAGAGCUGCAGAAACCGCCCUGUCUGCAUGUGUGCCCUCAUGUUCUUGGGUGCAUGUCUGUGUUUGUGUGUGUGUUUGCUUAUGUGCAUGUGCAGUGUGUGUGUGUUCGAGACAGAGCGAGACUGAGAGUGCAAGUGGGUGUAAGCACACACACCCACCCGUCAGCCCUGCCUGUCUGCUCAGAGUUUUGCCUGUCACCCGGCCACGCCCUGUGACCCCCCUCCUCGGCUGGGUGCAGCCAGGACACCUGUUGCCAGCUGCGAGCACCUGCCUGGUUGCUGCGCCCGUGUCCUGUGCAUGUUCCAAGCCAGCCCCCUGGGGUAAUCCAGGCCAUGACUCAGGAACGUCAUGUUGGGACACCCGAGACCCCCAGCCCCUGCCCUAGGGGUCAGGGCAGCAGGUCCCAUCUCCCUUAGCUGGGCUGGGCCCAGGCAGCCUGUAUCACUGUUUGCUCCAGAGGCUGGGUGCGUCCUGCUUGGGGGCUGUGUGAGGCCCGCUUGUUUUCACCCACAGAUUCCCAGGGUUCUCAAGGCAGAGGAAAGCGACAAUUAGGGCAACACCCAUGUUGGUUGGAUCAGAGUGAAUCCCAGGCCUGCUUGGGAGGCUUUAGGCACUCAGCUCGGCCAUCUCUGAGGGUAAGGGCAUGUCAGCCACUCUGCUGGGGCAUCUCUGUGCUCAGCACCAUGUGGGCUCAUCACAGACACAAGAGUGCGUCCUCUCAGAGGGAAUGGUCUGGCAGGUUUUGCCUGUUUUCCUGCUCACAGGUUGAAUUUCUUGGCCAGCAUCCCAUAGCCAGGCCAGAGCGGAGCAGGGCUGCCUGCUGCACCCAGUGGCUUCUUGUCAAUCUCGGCCUCUCGUUCCCUGCCUGGGAGAGGGUCUCAGUGUGAAGGGCAGAGGGGUCUUCUGGAACCAGCCAGUGCUGUGUCGGAGAGAAAGACCAGGAGGAAAUUGGAGGGGGGAGCCUACCCAUUGCCCUCCAGCACCGGCGAACAAAG
rnacentral:lncRNA from 1 species